CGGGUGAGUAACACGUGGAUAACCUACCUAUAAGACUGGGAUAACUUCGGGAAACCGGAGCUAAUACCGGAUAAUAUUUUGAACCGCAUGGUUCAAAAGUGAAAGACGGUCUUGCUGUCACUUGUAGAUGGAUCCGCGCUGCAUUAGCUAGUUGGUAAGGUAACGGCUUACCAAGGCAACGAUGCAUAGCCGACCUGAGAGGGUGAUCGGCCACACUGGAACUGAGACACGGUCCAG
rnacentral:rRNA from 1 species